rnacentral:rRNA from 1 species
UACCAGCACCCCGAGUGUUCGGGACGAUUAUUGGGCCUAAAGCAUCCGUAGCCGGUUCUGCAAGUCCCCCGUUAAAUCCAGCUGCUCAACAGAUGGGCCGCGGAGGAUACUACAGAGCUAGGAGGCAGGAGAGGCAAGCGGUACUCAGUGGGUAGGGGUAAAAUCCGUUGAUCCAUUGAAGACCACCAGUGGCGAAGGCGGCUUGCCAGAAUGCGCUCGACGGUGAGGGAUGAAAGCUGGGGGAGCAAACCGG